rnacentral:rRNA from 1 species
UACGUAGGGACCGAGCGUUGUCCGGAUUCAUUGGGCGUAAAGAGCUCGUAGGCGGCUGUUCAAGUCGAACGUGAAAACUCGGAGCUCAACUCCGAGCCUGCGUUCGAUACUGGACGGCUAGAGUCUGGUAGGGGGAUCUGGAAUUCCUGGUGUAGCGGUGGAAUGCGCAGAUAUCAGGAGGAACACCGGUGGCGAAAGCGCUCUGCUAGGCCGCAACUGACACUGAGGGACGAAAGCUAGGGGAGCGAAUGGG